rnacentral:rRNA from 1 species
AUUGAACGCUGGCGGCAGGCUUAACACAUGCAAGUCGAGCGAGCGGCGGACGGGUGAGUAAUGUCUGGGAAACUGCCUGAUGGAGGGGGAUAACUACUGGAAACGGUAGCUAAUACCGCAUACUAUCAGAUGUGCACAGAUGGGAUUAGCUAGUAGGUGGGGUAAUGGCUCACCUAGGCGACGAUCCCUAGCUGGUCUGAGAGGAUGACCAGCCACACUUGAACUUAGACACGGUCCAGACUCCUACGGUGAGCAGCAGUGGGGAAUAUUGCACAAUGGGCGCAAGCCUGAUGCGGCCAUGGCGCGUGUGUGAAGAAGGCCUUCGGGUUGUAAAGCACUUUCAGCGAGGAGGCGUUACUCGCAGAAGAAGCACCGGCUAACUCCGUGCCAGCCGCCGCGGUAAUUC